GACAGAGGUUGCAAACGUUGUUCGGAAUUACUGGGCCUAAAGCGCACGUAGGCGGUUCGUUAAGUCAUGUGUGAAAUCCCCCGGCUCAACCGGGGAAUUGCGCCUGAUACUGGCGGGCUAGAGAUCGAUAGGGGUGAGCGGAACUCCAGGUGGAGCGGUGAAAUGCGUAGAUAUCUGGAGGAACACCGGUGGCGAAAGCGGCUCACUGGAUCGAAACUGACGCUGAGGUGCGAAAGCUAGGGUAGCAAACGGG
rnacentral:rRNA from 1 species